rnacentral:lncRNA from 1 species
UCGGUAUAUCCAUACAUUAUAAAUUUUUGGAAAAACUUCAAAUACCCCCAUGUGGUUUCGCAUUUUCUCACUUUAGUACCAUAUAGUUUAAAGUGUAUCAAGUUAGUAUCCUGCGAUUUCACACUUUCUUACUUUAAUACCCUAUGGUUUUAUUUUUGUAUCAAAUUAGUACCUUGUGGUUUUAAUCUUAUUUUUUUAUUAUCCGUUUCAGGGUAUAUAAUUUAACAAAAUAUUAAACCACGGGGUACUAAAGUGAGAAAGUGCGAAACCACGGGAUACUAACUUGAUAUACUUGAAACCACAAGGUACUAAAGUAAGAAAGUGCAAAACCACAGGGUACUAACUUGAUACACUUAAAACCAUAAAAUACUAAA